rnacentral:rRNA from 1 species
UACGUAGGUGGCAAGCGUUGUCCGGAUUUACUGGGCGUAAAGAGCGCGCAGGCGGUCGUGCAAGUCGCGUGUGAAAGCCCCCGGCUCAACUGGGGAGGGUCAUUCGAUACUGUUCGACUCGAAGGCAGGAGAGGGAAGUGGAAUUCCGGGUGUAGUGGUGAAAUGCGUAGAUAUCCGGAGGAACACCAGUGGCGAAGGCGACUUUCUGGCCUGUUCUUGACGCUGAGGCGCGAAAGCUAGGGGAGCAAACGGG